rnacentral:rRNA from 1 species
AUUGAACGCUGGCGGAAUGCUUUACACAUGCAAGUCGAGCGGCAGCGCGGGGCAACCUGGCGGCGAGCGGCGAACGGGUGAGUAAUGCAUCGGAACAUGUCCAAGUCGUGGGGGAUAGCCCGGCGAAAGCCGGAUUAAUACCGCAUACGCCCGAGAGGGGAAAGUGGGGGACCGCAAGGCCUCACGCGAUUGGGUUGGCCGAUGUCCGAUUAGCUAGUUGGCGGGGUAAGAGCCCACCAAGGCGAUGAUCGGUAGCUGGUCUGGGAGGAUGAUCAGCCACACUGGGACUGAGACACGGCCCAGACUCCUACGGGAGGCAGCAGUGGGGAAUUUUGGACAAUGGGGGAAACCCUGAUCCAGCCAUUCCGCGUGAGUGGAGAAGGCCUUCGGGUUGUAAAGCUCUUUUGUCCGGAACGAAACGGUUAGGUUGAAUACGCCUGACUACUGACGGUACUCUGGGAAUAAGCCACGGCUAACUCUGUGCCAGCCGCCGCCGUAAUAC